GUGUACACUGGGCAAAGGGAACAAAGAGGCACUUGGCUCACCCUAGAGCAAGAGGAGAAGCUCUCCAGAUUUGCUGACCUAGAAGGAUAAGUCUGAAAUACCCUUGGCUGUGUACAUUUGAGUAAAGAGCACUAUAAAAUCAAAAACCAAUGAAAUGGUUUCCAGAACACAGAACUAUUAAGCUUAAGAAAAGGACAGAAGGAACUGAAGAGAGAGGAAAUAUGUUUUGGAGCAUCACACUUCCACCUCAGAAGAAAUAAGGAAGGAAGGAGGAGGAUGUUCCCACGGCUCUUCAACCAGGCCGGCUCUUCAGCCUACAUCCCAAUCUCAUCAAGUAAAAGGGAUUUUUCAACUGGACCAAUCAGAUGGUUUAACAGUGCACUCCCACACAAUUCAACUACGCAAGGGAGAUUCACUUAACAUAUGCAGUCGUAUAACACCUACUAACAUUUUCAAACAUUAAACCUUUAAAAAAGAGUUCUAAAGAAAUAGAAGCAUGAAGUAUCAUCUCUCAAGUAUAUAGACACUACUUCAUGGUGUGGUAAUAUAUGCAUAUAGAAGCUAGUAAAUACCUCCAGGAGAUGCAAAAGGAAUUAGAACUGCCACAAGGUGCAAGCA
rnacentral:lncRNA from 1 species